rnacentral:snRNA from 1 species
GUGCUUGCUUUGGCAGCACAUAUGCUAAAAUUGGAACGAUAUAAAGAAGAUUAGCAUGGCCCCUGUGCAAGGAUGACACACAAAUUCGUGAAGUAUCCUGUCUAGUA